rnacentral:rRNA from 1 species
UGGGGAAUUUUGCACAAUGGGGGAAACCCUGAUGCAGCGACGCCGCGUGAUUUAGAAGGCCUUCGGGUUGUAAAAAUCUUUUCUAUGGGAAGAAAAUGACAGUACCAUAGGAAUAAGGACCGGCUAAUUACGUGCCAGCAGUCGCGGUAAUACGUAAGGUCCGAGCGUUGUCCGGAAUCAUUGGGCGUAAAGGGUACGUAGGCGGGUAAGCAAGUUAGAAGUGAAAUCCUGUAGCUCAACUACAGUAAGCUUUUAAAACUGCUCAUCUUGAGAUAUGGAAGGGAAAGUGGAAUUCCUAGUGUAGCGGUGAAAUGCGCAGAUAUUAGGAGGAAUACCGGUGGCGAAGGCGACUUUCUGGCCAUAAUCUGACGCUGAGGUACGAAAGCGUGGGUAGCAAACAGG